GGAUGAACGCUGGCGGCGUGCUUAACACAUGCAAGUCGAACGAUGAAGCCCAGCUUGCUGGGUGGAUUAGUGGCGAACGGGUGAGUAACACGUGAGUAACCUGCCCUUGACUCUGGGAUAAGCCCGGGAAACUGGGUCUAAUACCGGAUAGGAGCGCCUGUCGCAUGACGGGUGUUGGAAAGAUUUUUCGGUCAUGGAUGGACUCGCGGCCUAUCAGCUUGUUGGUGAGGUAAUGGCUCACCAAGGCGACGACGGGUAGCCGGCCUGAGAGGGUGACCGGCCACACUGGGACUGAGACACGGCCCAGACUCCUACGGGAGGCAGCAGUGGGGAAUAUUGCACAAUGGGCGGAAGCCUGAUGCAGCGACGCCGCGUGAGGGAUGACGGCCUUCGGGUUGUAAACCUCUUUCAGUAGGGAAGAAGCGAAAGUGACGGUACCUGCAGAAGAAGCACCGGCUAACUACGUG
rnacentral:rRNA from 1 species